rnacentral:rRNA from 1 species
UACGGAGGGUGCAAGCGUUAUCCGGAAUCAUUGGGUUUAAAGGGUCCGCAGGCGGGAUUGUAAGUCAGUGGUGAAAUCCGGCAGCUUAACUGUCGCACUGCCAUUGAUACUGCAGUCCUUGAAUUCGAUGGGAGUGGGCGGAAUAUGUCAUGUAGCGGUGAAAUGCUUAGAUAUGACAUAGAACACCGAUCGCGAAGGCAGCUCACUAUGUCUGAAUUGACGCUCAUGGACGAAAGCGCGGGUAGCAAACAGG